UGUAGAUGCUAAAUUUGAGAUUACAGAAAGGUGGAUAAUGGAAAGAGGUUUGCAGAGAUUACCCAAAAUAUUACCAACAUUACUUCAAAUGUGACGUCUGGAUGGAGCAUUUUGAAGGAAGAAUUCACAUUUCCUGCUAGGAGUGCCCCUUUCAAUAGCUGUCAUGCUUCCACUAUUGUACAGAUUGAUGAAGGCUAUUUUUUGGUGGCAUAUUUUGGUGGAUCCAUGGAAGGUGCUCCGGGUGUCAAAAUUUGGUUGCAGUGAUAUAGUUUGGGUUCAAUUAAUU